AUAAUUGCUUUAAAUGUGCCUGAAAUGUAGGUUUUUGCAUAAAAAAAAAAAACCUUCAACCUUGAUUGAGACAAAGGCAAUAAUUCAAAUGCAACUCAAACUACACACAGUAUUUAAUAUUUUCAAAUGGUUACAAUAGCACAUUAUUUGGGUAUUUUUAUCUUUGGGGCAAAUUUAGGAUUAAUAUGGGGAUUGUUUUUGGAGGUAUUCACUUUACAUGGUGUUCAAGAUGGUUACUUCCGCCCACUCUGAAGAGUCUCGGCGUCUGAUUGGUCCAAUUUUCAGUUAGGCGCCGCCUGAUUGGCCGCUGGACGAUGUCUGCUCCUAACAGAGGGCUAAAUCACUAGUUAACUAUUUUCAUCAUGGAAGUUAUACAGCUCAUGUAUCACACUUAAUAUUGAAUAUAUAUAUAAAAAGGGUUUUCCAAAAGGACCAUUUAUAAUCGAAAUACAAAACUUCACACACGAUUUUGAGCACAACAGAGCGCUCAGUGAACAUCACUUCCGGGACCUGCAUCACCGGAGGGGGACAUCUAUCUUGGCCACAAACCAUCUUUGACAGUCUUCAGCAGCAUGGUUGAAUCAGGCGCAUCAACACAUGAUAUAGACAUCGUGUCCAAAAGAAGAGCGAGACGUAAUCCUGAGGCUGAAGCCACCGAGUUUAUUUGAUCUGGAUGUGACAAGUCUUGUUUUAAGGCCCAGUGGAUCAAUGAUUGGAAAGACACCAACUGUUGAUGUUCUAUCUCAACAUUCUCUAGAUUCAUGUGAGCGAUAAACCGACUUCAUCCCUCCAACAGACACCAACUGUUGGGGUUCUAUCUCAACAUUCUCCAGAUUCAGAUGUGAGCGAUAAACCGACUUCAUCCCUCCAACAGAAACCAACUGUUGAGGUUCCAUCUCAACAUUCUCCGGAUUCAGAUGUGAGCCAUUAACUGACUUCAUCCCUCCAACAGAAACCAACUGUUUGAGGUUCUAUCUCAACAUUCUCUAGAUUCAGAUGACAGCCAUAAACCGACUUCAUCCCUCCAACAGGUUAUUACAUGUCUAUUUUUACUAUAUCUGCUCUAAAUUUGACCCAACCUAUAUUUUGAAAGACAUUUAUUAA